CCAACCCCUGUGAAUUAUACCUUUAAUUGUUGCUUCGGCGGGACUUCGCGCCCGCCGGGGACCCAAACCUUCUGAAUUUUUUAAUAAGUAUCUUCUGAGUGGUUUAAAAAAAAAAUGAAUCAAAACUUUCAACAACGGAUCUCUUGGUUCUGGCAUCGAUGAAGAACGCAGCGAAAUGCGAUAAGUAAUGUGAAUUGCAGAAUUCAGUGAAUCAUCGAAUCUUUGAACGCACAUUGCGCCCGUCAGUAUUCUGGCGGGCAUGCCUGUUCGAGCGUCAUUACGCCCCUCAAGUCCCCUGUGGACUUGGUGUUGGGGAUCGGCGAGGCUGGUUUUCCAGCACAGCCGUCCCUUAAAUUAAUUGGCGGUCUCGCCGUGGCCCUCCUCUGCGCAGUAGUAAAGCACUCGCAACAGGAGCCCGGCGCGGUCCACUGCCGUAAAACCCCCCAACUUUUUAUAGUUGACCUCGAAUCAGGUAGGACUACCCGCUGAACUUAAGCAUAUCAAUAAGCGGAGGAAAAGAAACCAACAGGGAUUGCCCCAGUAACGGCGAGUGAAGCGGCAACAGCUCAAAUUUGAAAUCUGGUCCCCAGGGCCCGAGUUGUAAUUUGCAGAGGAUGCUUUUGGUGAGGUGCCUUCCGAGUUCCCUGGAACGGGACGCCAUAGAGGGUGAGAGCCCCGUCUGGUUGGAUACCGAGCCUCUGUAAAGCUCCUUCGACGAGUCGAGUAGUUUGGGAAUGCUGCUCUAAAUGGGAGGUAUAUGUCUUCUAAAGCUAAAUAUUGGCCAGAGACCGAUAGCGCACAAGUAGAGUGAUCGAAAGAUGAAAAGCACUUUGAAAAGAGGGUUAAAUAGUACGUGAAAUUGUUGAAAGGGAAGCACUUAUGACCAGACUUGGCCCCGGUGAAUCAUCCAGCGGUUCCCGCUGGUGCACUUUGCCGGGGUUCAGGCCAGCAUCAGUUCGCUCCGGGGGAUAAAGGCUUUGGGAAUGUGGCUCCCUCGGGAGUGUUAUAGCCCAUUGCGUAAUACCCUGUGGCGGGCUGAGGUUCGCGCUUUAUGCAAGGAUGCUGGCAUAAUGGUCAUCAGUGACCCGUCUUGAAACACGGACCAAGGAGUCGUCUUCGUAUGCGAGUGUUCGGGUGUUAAACCCCUACGCGUAAUGAAAGUGAACGCAGGUGAGAGCCCUCCAGGGCGCAUCAUCGACCGAUCCUGAUGUUCUCGGAUGGAUUUGAGUAAGAGCAUACGGGGCCGGACCCGAAAGAAGGUGAACUAUGCCUGUAUAGGGUGAAGCCAGAGGAAACUCUGGUGGAGGCUCGCAGCGGUUCUGACGUGCAAAUCGAUCGUCAAAUAUGGGCAUGGGGGCGAAAG
rnacentral:rRNA from 1 species